ACUCCUACGGGAGGCAGCAGGGGGGAAUAUUGGGCAAUGGAGGAAACUCUGACCCAGCGACGCCGCGUGAGGGAUGAAGGCCUUCGGGUUGUAAAGCACUGUCGAGGGGAAACAAGCCGUAAGGUUGAGUGACCCCUGGAGGAAGCACGGGCUAAGUUCGUGCCAGCAGCCGCGGUAAU
rnacentral:rRNA from 1 species